rnacentral:rRNA from 1 species
UACGUAGGGCGCAAGCGUUAUCCGGAAUUAUUGGGCGUAAAGAGCUCGUAGGCGGUCUGUCGCGUCUGCUGUGAAAACUCAGGGCUUAACCCUGAGCUUGCAGUGGGUACGGGCAGACUAGAGUGCGGUAGGGGAGACUGGAAUUCCUGGUGUAGCGGUGAAAUGCGCAGAUAUCAGGAGGAACACCGGUGGCGAAGGCGGGUCUCUGGGCCGUAACUGACGCUGAGACACGAAAGCGUGGGUAGCAAACAGG